rnacentral:rRNA from 1 species
UACGUAGGGGGCGAGCGUUGUCCGGAAUGAUUGGGCGUAAAGGGCGCGUAGGCGGCUAUGCAAGUCUGGAGUGAAAGUCCUAUUUUCAAGGUAGGAAUUGCUUUGGAAACUGUGUAGCUUGAGUGCAGGAGAGGUUAUCGGAAUUCCCGGUGUAGCGGUGAAAUGCGUAGAGAUCGGGGGGAACACCAGUGGCAAAGGCGGGUAACUGGACUGCAACUGACGCUGAGGCGCGAAAGUGUGGGGAGCAAACAGGAUUAGAUACCCCGGUAGUCCCUGAG